UACGUAGGUGGCGAGCGUUGUCCGGAUUUACUGGGCGUAAAGAGCGCGCAGGCGGUCGAUCAAGUCGGAUGUGAAAGCCCCCGGCUCAACUGGGGAGGGUCAUUCGAUACUGGUCGACUCGAAGGCAGGAGAGGGAAGCGGAAUUCCCGGUGUAGUGGUGAAAUGCGUAGAUAUCGGGAGGAACACCAGUGGCGAAGGCGACUACCUGGCCUGUUCUUGACGCUGAGGCGCGAAAGCUAGGGGAGCAAACGGG
rnacentral:rRNA from 1 species